ACACGUAGGGGGCGAGCGUUGUCCGGAAUUACUGGGCGUAAAGGGCGCGUAGGCGGCUUAAUAAGUCUGAUGUGAAACCCCUGGGCUUAACCCUGGGCUUGCAUUAGAAACUGUUAAGCUUGAGGGCAGGAGAGGAAAGCGGAAUUCCCAGUGUAGCGGUGAAAUGCGUAGAUAUUGGGAAGAACACCAGUGGCGAAGGCGGCUUUCUGGACUGUUACUGACGCUGAGGCGCGAAAGCCAGGGGAGCGAACGGGAUUAGAUACCCCGGUAGUCCUGGCCGUAAACGAUGGAUACUAGGUGUGGGAGGUAUCGACCCCUUCCGUGCCGCAGUUAACACAUUAAGUAUCCCGCCUGGGGAGUACGGCCGCAAGGCUGAA
rnacentral:rRNA from 1 species